rnacentral:rRNA from 1 species
CAGCAGCCGCGGGAACACAGAGGGUGCGAGCGUUAAUCGGAUUUACUGGGCGUAAAGCGUGCGUAGGCGGCUUCUUAAGUCGGAUGUGAAAUCCCUGAGCUUAACUUAGGAAUUGCAUUCGAUACUGGGAAGCUAGAGUAUGGGAGAGGAUGGUAGAAUUCCAGGUGUAGCGGUGAAAUGCGUAGAGAUCUGGAGGAAUACCGAUGGCGAAGGCAGCCAUCUGGCCUAAUACUGACGCUGAGGUACGAAAGCAUGGGGAGCAAACAGGAUUAGAUACCCCCGUAGUCCCUGUCUCUUAUAC